AAGAAAGAUUAAUACCUGAUGGUAUGAUGAGAUUGCAUGAUAGCAUCAUUAAAGAUUUAUCGGUGUACGAUGGGGAUGCGUUCCAUUAGGUAGUAGGCGGGGUAACGGCCCACCUAGCCAACGAUGGAUAGGGGUUCUGAGAGGAAGGUCCCCCACAUUGGAACUGAGACACGGUCCAAACUCCUACGGGAGGCAGCAGUGAGGAAUAUUGGUCAAUGGACGAGAGUCUGAACCAGCCAAGUAGCGUGAAGGAUGAAGGUCCUACGGAUUGUAAACUUCUUUUAUAAGGGAAUAAACCCUCCCACGUGUGGGAGCUUGUAUGUACCUUAUGAAUAAGCAUCGGCUAACUCCGUGCCAGCAGCCGCGGUAAUACGGAGGAUGCGAGCGUUAUCCGGAUUUAUUGGGUUUAAAGGGAGCGCAGACGGGUCGUUAAGUCAGCUGUGAAAGUUUGGGGCUCAACCUUAAAAUUGCAGUUGAUACUGGCGUCCUUGAGUGCGGUUGAGGUGUGCGGAAUUCGUGGUGUAGCGGUGAAAUGCUUAGAUAUCACGAAGAACUCCGAUUGCGAAGGCAGCACACUAAUCCGUAACUGACGUUCAUGCUCGAAAGUGUGGGUAUCAAACAGGA
rnacentral:rRNA from 1 species